CGCGCUGCUGGGAUCUGUAUAACGUUCUAUCCGCGUUCGAUCCGCAUCUCUCGCCCUCUGCCUCGUCCCCUUCCCUCCUACUGCUCCUUGAAAACUCACCUGCUUCCUCAUUCCUGCGCACGCACGCACGCACGCGCUCUCCUCUCUCUACGCACCGCGCAGAGCUUCCUCAUCACCUGUGCGCCGCAGCCACACACACACACACGCAUACGCAUACGCAAGCGGCCACCGGUUCGUGCCUCGUUGCAUCCUGCGUUGUUUCUCUCGUUCUCGGGAGAGGGAUCGCUCUUAAGCCGUCGCCUUCUUGUUGUUGUUGGAAGCCCGCGCGGUGGAUGUGUUGCCGCUCUUGUGCUCGCCGCCGCAUCUUGUGCACUCGGAGCGGACGUUGCGAGGUCCAUCCGUCACCGUCGCGUCUCUCAUUUUCUCUUGCUGCGUAGAGAGUGAGGCACGCCAUACCCACCACACCUAUACAUACGUAGACAGGUGCACGGCACGCGCGCGAUGGAAGCGAACGUGACCGUCACCACCAAGCCGUACAAGCCGGCGGCGUCCAUCUAUGAUGCGUGGAAGGAGACGCUGCUGCCCUUUCUCGUCCCGGCGACGGUGCUCAGCGCCUGGCCCAUGAUCAUGCUUAUCCGAGAUCGCAAUCGCGUCCCGAUCAAGCUGCUCACGAUCGCCGCGCUCGUCUCGCUGGCCGACGGCCUCCUUGGCAGCUGCGCCUUCCCGCUGCAACAUCAAUACGCCUUCUCCCUCUCCGCGAACUCGGCCUUCUUCUAUGCAGGCACCGUCACCUACUGGCUUAGCGGCGCAGCCCUGAGUCCGCUGAUGGAGAUGUGGGGGUGCCAGCGCUCCUGCAUGGCGCUGGCCAUCGCGGGUGCUGCUGGUGCAUGGGGUAGUGGGCAGAGCAUCGCUCUCUUCGUUCUCUGUGGCCGUAUUGCCACCGCAGCAGCCACGUCUGGUCUCUCGACGUGGGUCGAGUGCGCGCUCUACCACGAGGCGCACGUGCACCAUUGCCCUUCCGCCGCCGCCGGCGAUGACAAGGGUAUGGUGGACAGCAACGGUGGUGAGGCGCUCGGCGGUAGCGGUGCGCUCACGAUCUUCCAUCAGGUACGUCCUGCCAUGUUGUUGUUUUCCAUGAUCGCGUCGCAGUACGUGAUGGCGGUGACGCCGACGGUGUCAGUGGCGCCGUGCUGGGUGGCGCUCCUGUGCUACAUAGGCGUGUUCGUCGUUGCCUGGGGCCUCGCUGCGCUACCUGCAACCUCGGCUGCCGGAUCGUCGUGGUGGACGGGAUCGAACCCCUUCCACGUAGCCGGCGGCGGCGGCAACGGCGUGCAUGCAAAGAACGCGAGCAGGAAAGAUGCCUCAUCGAGCACCUCGGAGUUUGAAAGCACGGUGGCGAUGCUACUGCCGGGCGUGGCGCUGAGCUGCUGCAGCGCGGGCGGCUCGCGACUGUCCUCGUCGAAGCACAUGCUGCGGCACUACGUGCACGCCUACAGCACCUCAAUCCGGACACUGUGCAUGCCGCGAUAUCUUGCCCGCCACAUCGUGGACAUCGUCUUUGGCGCCGCCUUCCUUACGGGAUCGCUGCUGUGGGUGCCAACGCUGGAGCUGUACGACGACAGCAUCCCGUUCGGCUUUGUGUUUGAACUGUUCAUGAUCGCCACCUUCCUCGGCAGCACCUUCUCGCUUCCGGUGUGGGCCGUCGGCGGCGCAGAGGCGGCGCUGGUGGUCCUCCUCAGCCUCAGCGAGCGCACGCUCUCCACCUCGCGCGACUACGCCAUCCCAGUGACGAUCAUGCUCGGCGGCAUCGUGCUGCACCUCACGCACGGCUGUGUCCUCACCAUGGGCAGCUUGUGGCGCGCCGAGUACCCGAUCUCUAGCGCGCCACUCACGCUCUUGUUCUUGCUAAAGGCCUCCACCGGCGUCCUCGGGUGGGUCUUCCUCAACGCCAUCGACGGCAAGUAUAUGGAGGACGCCUUCUUCUUUGAGGCGCAGUGGAUGUGGGUGCUGAUGUGGGUGGAGGCGGUGGCGCUGACGCAGUACAUCGUCGCGCGCAUGGCUCCCGGUUGUGGCCGCCACGCCAACGGCGCGGCCAUCGCGAAAGACGGCGGUGCGGCGCUGUUGCAGAAGCCGGAUAGCGGUAGCGUCAAGGACCUGAGCGGCAACGGUAUGAAGGAGACGGCGGUGGCAGGGGGGCCAACGGUGCGUCUCCAGACCGACAUGCUCUCGCACGCGCCGUUCAACGGCGCGGAGACCGCGAAAAUGUAGAUGCCGUGUUACUCGGCGAGGCUGCAGGAGCGGCGUUACGAAGCGCAGACCGCCG
rnacentral:misc_RNA from 1 species